UACGUAGGGGGCAAGCGUUGUCCGGAUUUAUUGGGCGUAAAGAGCGUGUAGGCGGCCAGGUAGGUCUGCUGUGAAAACUUGAGGCUUAACCUCGAGAUGUCGGCGGAAACCAUCUGGCUAGAGUCCGGAAGAGGAGAGUGGAAUUCCUGGUGUAGCGGUGAAAUGCGCAGAUAUCAGGAAGAACACCCGUGGCGAAGGCGGCUCUCUGGGACGGUACUGACGCUGAGACGCGAAAGCGUGGGGAGCGAACAGG
rnacentral:rRNA from 1 species